AAGCUUUAAAAUACAAAAUGUACAGUUCCAGUUCAGAAGCAUUUGCUAUUCACAAGAAGCACUGCAAUAAGGCAGCAACAAGGUCUGGCCCUGAGAACAUGGAGAACAAACUGUCUCCAUUAGCCGAGGAGGUCUCAUCACUUGAGCUGGCAGAGUCUCCUUGAGUACCAGACCAGCUAUUUGUCACAUCACUAUGGCAUGUCAACUUGAUUCCCAAAGUCUGAGAUUUCACGCUGUAACUGGAUCUGAAUACAAGGCAAAGCUUGCUCCCUGAAUCAACAAAAACAUGUAUAUCAAACCACCCAAUACAU